UUAUAAUGAUGCAGCACUGAAGGACUUUUUUAACAACUGUCUGGAUGACCCUUUACCUCAAUGGGAGAUGAAGGGGCUGGAGAUCCUAGACUUUUGGGGGUUUACCCAUUACCUGUGCCAUCGUGCUCAAUGGGAUACUUCGACCACACCUGUGUCUCCAGAGAAGAGGGCCGCCAGCCCAGCGCCACAGCACAAGAUGGCCGCCAACCCAGCGCCACAGCACAAGAUGGCCGCCAGCCCGGCGCCACAGCACAAGAUGGCCGCCAGUUCAGCACCACAGCACAAGAUGGCCGCCAGCCCAGCGCCACAGCACAAGAUGGCCGCCAGCCCAGCACCACAGCACGAGAUGACCACCAGCCCAGCACCACUGCACAGGAGGGUCGAAUCUACACCUGUGUUGGCAGACAAGAUGGUUGACUCAACGCCUGAGUCUUCCGUCAAGGAGCCACCGGCACGUCAUCAUAGAGGCCGCAGGAGGAGGAGACAGGCGUCAGCCGUUCCUCAAAGCCCGGAGGACGUUCCCGAGCAGGCCGCUGCCGUCCAGGAGGACGUUCCCGAGCAGGCCGCUGCCGUCCAGGAGGACGUUCCCGAGCAGGCCGCUGCCGUCCAGGAGGACGUUCCCGAGCAGGCCGCGGUCGUCCAGGUGGAGGUGUCCAAGGUUCCCGAGGCGGUGCCCGAUCCCGAGGCCGUUCCCGAGGCGGUGCCCGAUGCCGAGACCGUUCCCGAGGCGGUGCCCGAUGCCGAGGCCGUUCCCGAGGCGGUGCCCGAUGCCGAGGUCGUUCCCGAGGCGGUGUCCUUGUCCGAGGCCGUUCCUGAGACCGUUCCCGAGGCGGUGCCCGAUGCCGAGGUCGUUCCCGAGGCGGUGUCCUUGUCCGAUGCCAUUCCCGAGGCAGUGCCCGAUGCUGUUCCGGAGGCCGAGGCGGGGCCCGAGAUGGUUCUGGAGGCGAUACCCGUGUCCAAGGCCGUUCCCGAGGCGGUGCCCUUGUCUGAGGCCGUUCCCGAUGCCGUUCCCAAUGCCGUGACCUGGCCAUCGCCACAGCCUGCUCCUUACUGGCUCCCCGAUUGGCAGGUUCCGUUCGGGCCACUCAAAUGGCGAAUUCCUCCCUGGCCGUCUGCACAACGAGAAUGGACUGAUCCACCGUGGCCACCUGAACUGCCUGGCCCCUCGUGGUCCCCUGAACUUUCGGGUCCACCGUGGCCACCUGAACUGCCUGGUCCCUCGUGGUCCCCUGAACUUUCGGGUCCACCAUGGCCCCCUGAUCUGACCGAGCCACCUGGGCUACCA
ensembl:lncRNA